UUUUGGUCCGACUCUCCUUCACACCUAGAAAACCGUAACAAUAAGCUUGGAUAAAGAAAUGCUAUGCUAUGACUGAAUUCAAACGAUUUCAGAGCUGUGCAAACCUACAGCUGAGCUAAGGGAUUAAUCCCAGAAGCGAAAGAAACGAAGGAAAUGGUUUGAGUUUGGGCCUAAACUUGGCCCUCAUUGGGGAAAAAAACAUUACUGUCUUGCACUCCCCACUCCUUUAUUGCACAUCGGUGGAAAAUCCAUUUCACCAUGAGAGUGAAAUCAUGCUGGCCUUUGAUUGGGAGAACAUCCACGCCAUAGAGGACGUCCCCAUGGGACUUGGGGCUCUGCUAGGGCUGUAUUUUUUGUUUUCAGUAAAA